rnacentral:rRNA from 1 species
ACGCUGGCGGCAGGCUUAACACAUGCAAGUCGAACGGUAGCAGGAGAAAGCUUGCUUUCUUGCUGACGAGUGGCGGACGGGUGAGUAAUGCCUGGGAAUCUGGCUUAUGGAGGGGGAUAACGACGGGAAACUGUCGCUAAUACCGCGUAGUGUCGAGAGACGAAAGUGCGGGACUGAGAGGCCGCAUGCCAUAGGAUGAGCCCAAGUGGGAUUAGGUAGUUGGUGGGGUAAAGGUCUACCAAGCCUGCGAUCUCUAGCUGGUCUGAGAGGAUGACCAGCCACACUGGAACUGAGACACGGUCCAGACUCCUACGGGAGGCAGCAGUGGGGAAUAUUGCGCAAUGGGGGGAACCCUGACGCAGCCAUGCCGCGUGAAUGAAGAAGGCCUUCGGGUUGUAAAGUUCUUUCGGUAUUGAGGAAGGUUGAUGUGUUAAUAGCACAUCAAAUUGACGUUAAAUACAGAAGAAGCACCGGCUAACUCCGUGCCAGCAGCCGCGGUAAUACGGAGGGUGCGAGCGUUAAUCGGAAUAACUGGGCGUAAAGGGCACGCAGGCGGUUAUUUAAGUGAGGUGUGAAAGCCCUGGGCUUAACCUAGGAAUUGCAUUUCAGACUGGGUAACUAGAGUACUUUAGGGAGGGGUAGA